rnacentral:snRNA from 1 species
AUGCUUCAGCAGCACAUAUACUAAAAUCUGAACGAAACAGAGAAGAUUAGCAUGGCCCCUGCACAAUGAUGACAUGCAAAUUUGUGAAGUGUUCCAUAUUUUU